rfam:Salmonella enterica subsp. enterica serovar Newport str. S09097 S_Newport_S09097_mira454_c94, whole genome shotgun sequence.
UGUAUGCGUGGAGCGUUCGCUGACAAAGCGCCGAGCGCACGCAGUCGUCUUUGUUGAAAUGCACAAUCCCUACCAUUUCAUCUUCUUCAAAGCGUUCCAACGCAUCGCUCAAUCCGGAACGCACGCCGCGCGGCAGGUCGCAUUGCGUAAUAUCGCCAUUGACAAUGACCGUGACAUUUUUCGCCUAAUCGACGUC